rnacentral:rRNA from 1 species
UACGUAGGAGACGAGCGUUGUCCGGAGUUACUGGGCGUAAAGGGUGCGCAGGUGGCGGCGCGCGUGGGGGGUGAAAUCGCCCGGCUUAACUGGGCGGGGGCCUUCCAGACGGCGUGGCUUGAGCAGCGGAGGGGGACGUGGAAUUCCGGGUGGAGCGGUGAAAUGCGUAGAGAUCCGGAGGAACACCGACGGCGCAGGCCAGCGUCCUGGCCGCUUGCUG